rnacentral:rRNA from 1 species
GGCUCAGGACGAACGCUUGCGGCGUGCCUAAGAAAUGCAAGUCGAGCGGGGGUAGCAAUACCCUAGCGGCGAACGGUCGCGUAACACGUAAGCAACCUGCCUCAAAGACCGGGACAACAUCUCGAAAGGGGUGCUAAUACCGGAUGUGGCCAUCUUUUCGCAUGUUGAGAUGAUUAAAUCCAGCAAUGGGCUUUGAGAGGGGGCUUGCGGCCUAUCAGCUAGUUGGUGGGGUAACGGCCUACCAAGGCGACGACGGGUAGCUGAUCUGAGAGGACGAUCAGCCGGACUGGGACUGAGAUACGGCCCAGACUCCUACGGGGGGCAGCAAUUAGGAAUCUUGCACAAUGGGGGAAACCCUGAUGCAGCGACGCCGCGUGGAGGAGGAAGUCCUUCGGGAUGUAAACUCCUUUUCUGGGGGAAGAAAAAAAUGACGGUACCCCAGGAAUAAGCUCCGGCUAACUACGUGCCAGCAGCCGCGGUAAUACGUAGGGAGCGAGCGUUGUCCGAAGUUACUGGGCGUAAAGCGCGCGUAGGCGGGUUAUUAAGUGAGAGGUGAAAUUCCGGGGCUCAACCCAGGAACUGCCUCUCAUACUGAUAGUCUUGAGUGAGGUAGAGAGAAGUGGAACGGCUGGUGUAGCGGUGAAAUGCGUAGAUAUCAGUCGGAACACCGGUGGCGAAGGCGGCUUCUUGGGCCUUUACUGACGCUGAUGCGCGAAAGCCAGGGUAGCGAACGGGAUUAGAUACCCCGGUAGUCCUGGCCGUAAACGAUGGAUACUAGGUGUAGGGGGUAUCGACCCCCCCUGUGCCGCAGCUAACGCAUUAAGUAUCCCGCCUGGGGAGUAC